UCUCCGCCCGCCACGCCACCACACCAAACCGCCGCGAUGCCGCGUGCUUCCGGCCGGCCGCCGUCGUCCGAGCAGGGCCCGAGCGCCUCCCCCUCCACCCCGGCGGCGGAUUCCUCCGUCGCUGCCCUCAUCGACCGCGCCACCUCCACCACGGCCCCCUCCGUCGACCCCGCGCUCCUCCGCGCCAUCAAGUCCUCGGUGCGCGCCUCCGAUGGCGCCGUCCGCGACGCCUUCCGCCUCCUCCUCUCCCUCAUGGCCAAGCCCCACUCCCACGUGCGGCUCCUGGCCUUCAGCAUCGUCGACGAGCUCUUCAUGCGCUCCAAGCUCUUCCGCGCUCUCCUCGCCGACGUGCUCGACGGAUUCGUCCCGCUGGCCGUCGGCUUCCGCAGCAACGAGCAGCUCCCCCCGCCGGCAGCCUCCGCGGCCACGCUCCGGAAGGCCGCCAUCCAGGCGCUCGAGCGCUGGCACCACCUCUUCGGCGUACACUACCGCCAGCUCCGUCUCGCCGUCGACUACCUCAAGUCGUCCGCGCGCAUCCAGUUCCCCGGGCUCCGCGCGGCCGUCGAGGCCCGUGCGGCGCGGGAGGCACGCACGCAGGAGAUCUUGACUGCCAAGGUCGAACAGUUGCGGUCCACCAUUGAAUCCAUAAAGGAUGAAAUCCGGUCCACCAUCCAAGAGAUCCGCAACGGGCUGGACAUCAUCCGGGCUGAGUAUGAGAAAUUCGAGCGUUAUGCAGACGAUGAUGACGAGGAGGAGGAGAUUGCUUCGAUGGCGAUGCAGAGUAUCAGGACAGCGUCGUUGAUGGCCGGGCAAUGGGUGCCUGAAACUCAGGAAAAUGAGGCAGUUUUCGAUGCAUUGAGGGAGGCGUACCGGCUCCUUGUAUCGAAGCAUUUCAGCACCAUUCAGGAUUGGAUAUCUGUGCUUGUCAGGGUCAAUCUUGCAGAUAAUCAGUUCAGAGAUUCUGCGCUCAAGGAAUUCAUCAAUGUUAAGAAUGAAAUACGCGCUGUAAGAGGCCAGUGCAAUGAGCUUGGUCUCGAUCUUGAUAAUGUUCGUAGGAAGAAGGAUGUUCAGGAGGAAGACGAAGAGGAUUGGGUGGAGGGAAAGAUUGAAGUUCCUAGUCCUCCUAGAGUUGUGAGCACUCUAGAUGUUGCAGGUUCCAGCAAGGACAAUAGGAAGGGAAAGAGCAUGGUGAAAGGAGGCAGUGGUGACGUGCCAAAUGACGGUGAUAGAUCUCAGGAGAUGGAUCCAGAGAGAAAAAGGCUCCUUGCCGAAGCCCCUUUGGUAUCAUGGAGCUCUGUCUUGGACCGGUGGGGUUCAAAUAUGGAUGCACAUGUAAACCAGAGGGGGCUUGAGCUCGAGAGCCAUUGGGGUAGGAUGGAUAAUGAUGCUGUUAUACCUGCAGCAAAGAUUGCAGAGUUAAAUGUUCACCAUUCUGUUUAUAAAGAAGAGCCAGUUGAGAUCCUACCAUGUCAUGCACCUCUGAAGAAAGGAGGUCUUUGCCAGAGAAGGGAUCUCAAGAUAUGCCCUUUUCAUGGGCCCAUCAUCCCACGUGAUGCAAGAGGAAAUCCAAUUGGCAGAAUUGAUGGCAGUUCUGAUGCGGGAGGCGAUCUGCUUGAGCAGAAAGUAGACAUUCGUGAGGCAGGAGGAAAUCCGAUUACUAAGACAAAUGGAGGCAGUGAUAGUGAAAGUACACUGGAGGGUCAGGAGCCCUCUACUUCAAAGAUGAGAAACAUAAAUAAUGAUACCACCGACAUCGAUGGAGCACAUGAUCUGAGUAAAAUGACAAUGGACCAGCUGGCGAUGCAAGCAGUUAAGAAUGUUCGGAAAAGGGGUAUGGACGACAAAGCACGCGAAAGAGCCCAGCGUGCGAGAAUCCGCCAGCACAAUGAAGAUGUUCUGCGGCAAUCGGCUAUUGCUUCAACGCCCCACUCAGCGGCAGCAUAUGACCAGCCCUCUGGAACAUUGGGCCAACGUGGUCGACGUCGAGGUAAGACGAAGGAACCUACACUAUCAUCAAUGCUGAAGAAGAAAGUUACUGCAAAAGAUAGGAUUGCAGGGAGGCUUCUAAAUGGUCGUGCUAGGGAUGCAACAAUAAGAGAAGCUUCUAAUACUGAGGAUAUGACCUACAGGGAAGCAUUCCCAAAUCAGUGGCAGUGAAAGCACCCUGAGUAGGUCUUUCUUCAUAAUUAACGGUUUCGUUAUGUUGUGCUGUUGUGCGCUUGAGGUGCUUGAAGUACGCAGGGCUCUGAAGCUGCUUCCAGACUGUUCAUGGAAAAAUUCAGAAAAGAAAGUCCUAUACCAUUUGUUCUGGCAGUCGGAUUGGGAAUCCAAGUCAGAACAGGCACCAAUAAACCGAAAGCCGUCGAUUUUGUGAAGCAUGCCAAGCAGUUUGUCCUUGUUGCCGACCGUCCUUCCACGGUCAUCCAGCUUCUCUGGAGCUACACCAUCAACAUCCGAUAUUCUGAACUGGCCUUACAACAGCUCAGAUGUGCUUGGAACAUUGGGCUGACGUGGUCGACGUCUAGGUAAAAUGAAGGAACCUACACUAUCAUCAACGCUGAAGAAGAAAGUUACUGCAAAAGAUAGGAUUGCAGGGAGGCUACUAAAUGGUCGUGCUAGGGAUGCAACAAUAAGAGAAGCUUCUAAUACUGAGGAUAUGACCUACAGGGAAGCAUUCCCAAAUCAGUGGCAGUGAAAGCACACUGAGGAUAUGCUCCAGUGUUUAGCUUGGUACUGCCAUCUUGUGUGCAGUGUGGUUCUUAAUUUCUGUAGUAGAUAAUGUCAGCUCAACUUUUUUUUCCCCUGUUCUGUAUUUAACCCAGCAACUGAGUCUUAGUAUAUGUUGUGCCUCACUGUUCUUCUCCAUAAGCUUUGUAAUUUUGCAAUGUCUUGUAACUUCUUUGUUGCCGGAUUCCUGGGCAUGA